rnacentral:rRNA from 1 species
AAUCAACGCUGGCGGCGUGCCUCAGACAUGCAAGUCGAACGCUGCUGUUCGCCUUCGGGUGGACAGCGGAGUGGCGCACGGGUGAGUAACACGUAGGUAAUCUACCUUUGGGUGGGGAAUAACAGCCGGAAACGGCUGCUAAUACCGCAUAAUGCAGCGGCAUCACAUGAUGACAGUUGUUAAAGCGAGGGAUCGUAAGACCUCGCGCCUGAAGAGGAGCCUGCGGCAGAUUAGGUAGUUGGUGAGGUAAUGGCUCACCAAGCCUGCGAUCUGUAACCGGCCUGAGAGGGCGGUCGGUCACACUGACACUGACAUACGGGUCAGA